UACGGGGGGUGCAAGCGUUGUUCGGAAUUAUUGGGCGUAAAGGGCGCGUAGGCGGUUGAAUAAGUCAGAUGUGAAAGCCCUUUGCUUAACGAAGGAGGUGCAUUUGAUACUGUUUGGCUUGAGUAGGGGAGAGGCAAGUGGAAUUCCGGGUGUAGAGGUGAAAUUCGUAGAUAUCAGGAGGAACACCGGUGGCGAAGGCGACUUGCUGGACCAAUACUGACGCUGAGGCGCGAAGGCGUGGGGAGCAAACAGG
rnacentral:rRNA from 1 species